GACGAACGCUGGCGGCGUGCUUAACACAUGCAAGUCGAACGGUGAAGCGCCUUCCUUUUUGGUGGGUGUGGAUGAGUGGCGAACGGGUGAGUAACACGUGAGUAACCUGCCCCCUUCUUCUGGAUAACCGCAUGAAAGUGUGGCUAAUACGGGAUAUUCUGGGUCUGUCGCAUGAUGGGUCUGGGAAAGAUCUUGUUUCGGUGGGGGAUGGGCUCGCGGCCUAUCAGCUUGUUGGUGGGGUGAUGGCCUACCAAGGCGGUGACGGGUAGCCGGCCUGAGAGGGUGGACGGUCACACUGGGACUGAGACACGGCCCAGACUCCGACGGGAGGCAGCAGGGGGGAAUAGUGCACAAUGGGCGCAAGCCUGAUGCAGCGACGCCGCGGGAGGGAUGGAGGCCUUCGGGUUGUGAACCUCUUUCGCCAGUGAAGCAGGCCUGCCUCGUUUGUGGGUGGGUUGACGGUAGCUGGAUAAGAAGCGCCGGCUAACUACGUG
rnacentral:rRNA from 1 species